rnacentral:rRNA from 1 species
UACGUAGGGUGCGAGCGUUAAUCGGAAUUACUGGGCGUAAAGCGUGCGCAGGCGGUUUGUUAAGACAGAUGUGAAAGCCCCGAGCUCAACUUGGGAAUUGCAGUGGAUACUGGCAGGCUGGAGUACGGUAGAGGAAGGUGGAAUUCCCGGUGUAGCAGUGAAAUGCGUAGAUAUCGGGAGGAACACCAGUGGCGAAGGCGGCCUUCUGGACCAGUACUGACGCUCAUGCACGAAAGCGUGGGGAGCAAACAGG